rnacentral:rRNA from 1 species
AUAGUUAUGGUCUUGAAACUUAAAAAAUUUGGCGGUAUUUUAGUCUAUUCAGAGGAACCUGUAUCAUAAUCGAUAAUCCACGAUGAACCUUACUUAGUCUUGUUUUUCAGUUUGUAUACCGCCGUUAUUUGAAGAUUUUAUAAGAAUUAUAAUUUUCAUAAUUUUUUAUUAGAAAGUAAAUCAGGUCAAGGUGCAGCUUAUGACUAAGUGUUUUAUGGGUUACAAUAAGUUUACUUAAACGGAUUUUUUUAUUAAAUUAAGAAAUUAAGGUGGAUUUGAUAGUAAAUUUCUAAAGAUUAGGAAUUUGAUUUUGGCUCUAAAAUAUGCACACAUCGCCCGUCGCUCUUGUUAUUAAUAUAAGAUAAGUCGUAACAUAGUAGAUGUACCGGAAGGUGUAUCUAGAAUGACAAUUUAAAGCUUAUUUAGUAAAGUAUUUCAUUUACACUGGAAUGAUUAUUGUGCAAAUCAAUAUAAAUUGAUUAUUUUAUAAUUAUUAAUUAUUUUUUUAUUAUUAUUAUUAUUAAAAAUAAUUAUAUUGUUUUUUUAGUAUUUUAUAUAGAAUAAAUAUUUUUUAUAAUAGUUAACUAGUAUUGUGAAAGAAUUU